UGGGGAAUAUUGGACAAUGGGCGAAAGCCUGAUCCAGCCAUGCCGCGUGUGUGAAGAAGGUCUUCGGAUUGUAAAGCACUUUAAGUUGGGAGGAAGGGCAGUAACUUAAUACGUUGCUGUUUUGACGUUACCGACAGAAUAAGCACCGGCUAACUCUGUGCCAGCAGCCGCGGUAAUACAGAGGGUGCAAGCGUUAAUCGGAAGUACUGGGCGUAAAGCGCGCGUAGGUGGUUUGUUAAGUUGGAUGUGAAAGCCCCGGGCUCAACCUGGGAACUGCAUUCAAAACUGACAAGCUAGAGUAUGGUAGAGGGUGGUGGAAUUUCCUGUGUAGCGGUGAAAUGCGUAGAUAUAGGAAGGAACACCAGUGGCGAAGGCGACCACCUGGACUGAUACUGACACUGAGGUGCGAAAGCGUGGGGAGCAAACA
rnacentral:rRNA from 1 species